AGAUGAGGAUGGUCAUUGUCAUUUUCUGAGCUGCGAACGGGCAGGAAGCUACACAACGAGAUGAGGAUGGUCAUUGUCAUUUUCCAAGCUGCGAACGGGCAGAAAGCUACACAACGAGAUGAGGAUGGUCAUUGUCAUUUUCUGAGCUGCGAGCGGGCAGAAAGGUACACAACGAGAUGAGGAUGGUCAUUGUCAUUUUCUGAGCUGCGCACGGGCAGAAAGCUAAGCAACGAGAUGAGGAUGGUGAUUGUCAUUUUCUAAGCUGCGAACGGGCAGAAAG